rnacentral:rRNA from 1 species
UACGAAGGGGGCUAGCGUUGCUCGGAAUUACUGGGCGUAAAGCGCACGUAGGCGGGUCGUUAAGUCGGGGGUGAAAUCCUGGAGCUCAACUCCAGAACUGCCCUCGAAACUGGCGAUCUUGAGUUCGGGAGAGGUGAGUGGAACUGCGAGUGUAGAGGUGAAAUUCGUAGAUAUUAGGAAGAACACCAGUGGCGAAGGCGGCUCACUGGCCCGGUACUGACGCUGAGGCGCGAAAGCGUGGGGAGCAAACAGGG